rnacentral:lncRNA from 1 species
AUUUUUAAGUUGGUUUCUGUAUAGAAAUGCUUAUCUUUUGCAAAACUUGCUUUGUAAGUGGUUCAGGUCGUUAAUGUUUUGUUGCUAAAAUCCCUCUUUUAAUUGCAUUAUGCUUGUGACACAGUGGUUGUGUAGGCGGAGUAGGAUUUGUGUGCAGUAUUCAUCAAGAAAAUAGCACAGAGUGCAUUUCCAGGCUGUGGAGAAACACCGUGGUGGGUGUUGAUAACAUUUGUAGUACUAGAGCUUUGAGAACAUGUUCUGGGCUGGGGCCUGUUGUAAACUCUCUGAAAACUUAGAAUUUCACCUUUAAAAAAAAAUUAGUUUUUCAUUAGAUGAUCAUACACGAUUAAGGCACAGCAUCCUGGAAGUUU